ensembl:snRNA U1 U1 spliceosomal RNA
AUACGUAGCUGGCAGGGGAGAUACCAUGAUCACAAAAGUGGUUUUCCCAGGGCAAGGCUUACCAUGCACUCCAGAUGUGCUGACCUUUGUGAUUUCCUCAAAUGUGGGAAACUUGACUGCAGAAUUUAUGGUAGUGGGGGACUAC